rfam:Coccidioides posadasii str. Silveira unplaced genomic scaffold supercont2.11, whole genome shotgun sequence.
GCCCCCGUGGUCUAGUUGGUCAUGACGCCGGUCUCAUAUUAACACAUAUGACGAGUAGCCACAACUACUUGGAAAUCCGGAGGCCACCAGUUCGAACCUGGUCGGAGGCA